CAGCCGCCGCGGUAACACGUAGGUGGCAAGCGUUGUCCGGAAUUAUUGGGCGUAAAGGGCUCGCAGGCGGUUUCUUAAGUCUGAUGUGAAAGCCCCCGGCUCAACCGGGGAGGGUCAUUGGAAACUGGGAAACUUGAGUGCAGAAGAGGAGAGUGGAAUUCCACGUGUAGCGGUGAAAUGCGUAGAGAUGUGGAGGAACACCAGUGGCGAAAGCACUCUGCUGGGCCGACACUGACACUGAGAGACGAAAGCUAGGGGAGCAAAUGGGAUUAGAGACCCCCGUAGUCCCUGUCUCUUAUAA
rnacentral:rRNA from 1 species